rnacentral:tRNA from 1 species
GCCCACAUAGCUUAACCACAAAGCAUGGCACUGAAGAUGCCAAGAUGGUGCCAAUCCACCUGCGGGCA